rnacentral:tRNA from 29 species
AAAAAUCGCCGUUGUAAACUUCAACUACAGAAAC